AUGUCUGUGUUGAACAUACGUGGCCCGUUCUCUACUGAACUGAUAAGACCGGCCAACGCACAGAGCAACACGCCUGCAAAAAGCGUCCCAGUGCCUAGACCACAGCCCUCUGUCUGCUAUGUGACAACGCAGGCAGCUGGUAAGCCUGUCAGCUCCGGCACCCUGUCCAAGGGGCCACAAACACCAGCCAUCGUGAUAGGAUCAUGUCUUCACACAAACCGUGUUUCCAGAAGGACUGGAUCAUGCACACAGCAUCUGAUAGGCCAUUCUCCUGGGCUGCGUCCGCUGUGCUUAGCAGGGGUCUCUGGUUCUACGCUGAAGGACUGUUUAAUCAUUAGAUCUCUGCGCCACCAGAUCCAGAAGAAGAUGCCUGAUAGUGCAGCAGCUCAAUGA
rnacentral:lncRNA from 15 species